GUAGAUGCUCAUUCCAUUUCUUAUGUUCGCCUUAGGCUUCAUAAACCCUGGGAAUGACGCAGAGCCGAUUUAGGGUGCCUAUCGCCCACGAGAACGAUGACUAACCCGUCAUCACGCUCAGGGCAAAACGUUGAGUGAGGCACCGCCCCUGUUGUCCUAGACCUGAUUGCUUCUUUAUACACUUGCCAUGCGGCAAGUGUUUUUUU
rnacentral:sRNA from 2 species